rnacentral:rRNA from 1 species
AAUAGAUACCCGGGUAGUCCACGCCGUAAACGAUGGAUGCUAGCUGUUAGGAGUAUCGACCCUCCUAGUAGCGUAGCUAACGCGUUAAGCAUCCCGCCUGUGGAGUACGAGCGCAAGCUUAAAACAUAAAGGAAUUGACGGGGGACCCGCACAAGCGGUGGAGCGUGUUGUUUAAUUCGAUGGUAAGCGAAGAACCUUACCCAGGCUUGACAUCCUGCCAAAGACUCCGAAAGGAGACUGUGCCUUCGGGCCGCAGUGACAGGUGAUGCAUGGCCGUCGUCAGCUCGUGUCGUGAGAUGUUUGGUUAAGUCCAUCAACGAGCGCAACCCCUAUGACUAGUUGUAUUUCUCUAGUCAGACUGCCCUGGCAACAGGGGAGGAAGGAGGGGAUGAUGUCAGGUCAGUAUCUCCCUUACGCCUGGGGCUACAAACACGCUACAAUGGCCGGUACAAAGGGCAGCAACCCGCGAGGGGGAGCAAAUCCCAUCAAAGCCGGUCUCAGUUCGGAUUGCAGGCUGAAACUCG